rnacentral:rRNA from 1 species
UACGAAGGGGGCUAGCGUUGCUCGGAAUCACUGGGCGUAAAGGGUGCGUAGGCGGGUCUUUAAGUCAGGGGUGAAAUCCUGGAGCUCAACUCCAGAACUGCCUUUGAUACUGAAGAUCUUGAGUUCGGGAGAGGUGAGUGGAACUGCGAGUGUAGAGGUGAAAUUCGUAGAUAUUCGCAAGAACACCAGUGGCGAAGGCGGCUCACUGGCACGAUACUGACGCUGAGGCACGAAAGCGUGGGGAGCAAACAGG